UAAUUGAAGAGUUUGAUCAUGGCUCAGAUUGAACGCUGGCGGUAGGCUUAACACAUGCAAGUCGUGCGAGAAAGUAUCUUCGGAUAUGAGUAGAGCGGCGGACGGGUGAGUAACGCGUAGGAAUCUACCUAGUAGAAGGGGAUAGCCCGGGGAAACCCGGAUUAAUACCGUAUACCUCCUUCGGGAGAAAGAAGGCCUCUCUUUGAAGCUUUCGCUAUUAGAUGAGCCUGCGUAAGAUUAGCUUGUUGGUGAGGUAAAGGCUCACCAAGGCAACGAUCUUUAGCUGGUCUGAGAGGACGAUCAGCCACAUUGGGACUGAGACACGGCCCAGACUCCUACGGGAGGCAGCAGUGGGGAAUAUUGGACAAUGGGCGCAAGCCUGAUCCAGCCAUACCGCGUGUGUGAAGAAGGCCUUCGGGUUGUAAAGCACUUUAAGCAGGGAGAAAAAGUUAUAAGUUAAUACCUUAUGACCUUGAUGUUACCUGCAGAAUAAGCACCGGCUAAUUCCGUGCCAGCAGCCGCGGUAAUACGGAAGGUGCAAGCGUUAAUCGGAAUUACUGGGCGUAAAGCGCGCGUAGGUGGUUUGUUAAGUUGGAUGUGAAAGCCCUGGGCUCAACCUAGGAACUGCAUCCAAAACUAACUCACUUGAGUACGAUAGAGGGAGGUAGAAUUCAUAGUGUAGCGGUGGAAUGCGUAGAUAUUAUGAAGAAUACCGGUGGCGAAGGCGGCCUCCUGGAUCUGUACUGACACUGAGGUGCGAAAGCGUGGGUAGCGAACAGGAUUAGAUACCCUGGUAGUCCACGCCGUAAACGAUGACAACUAGCUGUUGGGAGACAAUGUCUUUCAGUGGCGCAGCUAACGCUUUAAGUUGUCCGCCUGGGGAGUACGGCCGCAAGGCUAAAACUCAAAUGAAUUGACGGGGACCCGCACAAGCGGUGGAGCAUGUGGUUUAAUUCGAUGCAACGCGAAAAACCUUACCUACUCUUGACAUACUUGGGAGCUCUUGUAAUGAGAGUGUGCCUUUUGGAACCAAGAUACAGGUGCUGCAUGGCUGUCGUCAGCUCGUGUCGUGAGAUGUUCCGUUAAGUCGGAUAACGAGCGCAACCCUUACCCUUAUUUGCCAGCGAUUCGGUCGGGAACUAUAAGGGGACUGCCGGUGAUAAACCGGAGGAAGGUGAGGACGACGUCAAGUCAUCAUGGCCCUUACGAGUAGGGCUACACACGUGCUACAAUGGGAAAUACAGACGGACGCUAAGCCGCGAGGUGGUGCUAAUCCUAGAAAAUUUCUCGUAGUCCGGAUUGGAGUCUGCAACUCGACUCCAUGAAGUCGGAAUCGCUAGUAAUCGCGGAUCAGCAUGCCGCGGUGAAUACGUUCUCGGGUCUUGUACACACCGCCCGUCAUACCAUGGAAGUGGAUUGCACCAGAAGUAGAUAGUCUAACCUUAGGGAGGGCGUUUACCACGGUGUGCUUCAUGACUGGGGUAAAGUCGUAACAAGGUAGCCGUAGGGGAACCUGUGGCUGGAUCACCUCCUUA
rnacentral:rRNA from 1 species